CUGGCGGCGUGCCUAACACAUGCAAGUCGAACGGACAUACUAGCAAUAGUAUGUUAGUGGCGGACGGGUGAGUAAUACAUGAGUAACCUGCCUUAUACAGGGGGAUAACACUUAGAAAUAGGUGCUAAUACCGCAUAAUAACCCUUGGUGGCAUCACUAGGGGAGGAAAGGAGAAAUCCAGUAAAAGAUGGGCUCAUGUUCGAUUAGCUAGUUGGUGAGGUAAUGGCUCACCAAGGCCACGAUCGAUAGCCGAACUGAGAGGUUGAACGGCCACAUUGGAACUGAGAGACGGUCCAGACUCCUACGGGAGGCAGCAGUGGGGGAUAUUGCGCAAUGGGGGAAACCCUGACGCAGCAACGCCGUGUGAAGGAAGAAGGCUUUAGGGUUGUAAACUUCUUUGAUUAGGGACGAAUAAAUGACUGUACCUAAGGAACAAGCCACGGCUAACUACGUGCCAGCAGCUGC
rnacentral:rRNA from 1 species